CUGUUGGCAGCCUAGGGCAGGAGUCCAGAGUGACAAAAAGUGCCACCAGGGGGCAGAUGAGGAUGAUGAAGGGUACACCCCACUCCUUCCCAGGUACCCUUAGCCAGGGGUCCUCAAAUGUGGUAAUUUAUGGACCCAAGGGAAGGGGGAAGGGAGAACUAAGGUAUUUUGAUGGGAGUAGGAAAAUUGCGGAACUAGGAGCAGACGGGAGCCUGUUUUGCUCACCUUGGUAUCCCCAGCUCACAUUGAGUGGUCACUAAGGAGCUACAAAAUGAAAUGGGAAAAGUGUAACUUACUUUGCACAAUUCUGUGGUAGCUGAGAUCUUCUGCAAAGCAAAACACUGUGUUGCAGUCAACACACUAUUGUUCAAAAUGAG
rnacentral:lncRNA from 1 species